rnacentral:rRNA from 1 species
CUACACCAUAAACUGUGAGUUGCGAACGGGUGAGUAACGCGUAGGUAACCUGCCUGGUAGCGGGGGAUAACUAUUGGAAACGAUAGCUAAUACCGCAUAAUAUUGAUUAUUGCAUGAUAAUUGAUUGAAAGAUGCUAUUGCAUCACUACCAGAUGGACCUGCGUUGUAUUAGCUAGUAGGUGAGGUAACGGCUCACCUAGGCGACGAUACAUAGCCGACCUGAGAGGGUGAUCGGCCACACUGGGACUGAGACACGGCCCAGACUCCUACGGGAGGCAGCAGUAGGGAAUCUUCGGCAAUGGACGAAAGUCUGACCGAGCAACGCCGCGUGAGUGAAGAAGGUUUUCGGAUCGUAAAGCUCUGUUGUAAGAGAAGAACGGGUGUGAGAGUGGAAAGUUCACACUGUGACGGUAUCUUACCAGAAAGGGACGGCUAACUACGUGCCAGCAGCCGCGGUAAUACGUAGGUCCCGAGCGUUGUCCGGAUUUAUUGGGCGUAAAGCGAGCGCAGGCGGUUAGAUAAGUCUGAAGUUAAAGGCUGUGGCUUAACCAUAGUACGCUUUGGAAACUGUUUAACUUGAGUGCAGAAGGGGAGAGUGGAAUUCCAUGUGUAGCGGUGAAAUGCGUAGAUAUAUGGAGGAACACCGGUGGCGAAAGCGGCUCUCUGGUCUGUAACUGACGCUGAGGCUCGAAAGCGUGGGGAGCGAACAGGAUUAGAUACCCUGGUAGUCCACGCCGUAAACGAUGAGUGCUAGGUGUUAGGCCCUUUCCGGGGCUUAGUGCCGCAGCUAACGCAUUAAGCACUCCGCCUGGGGAGUACGACCGCAAGGUUGAAACUCAAAGGAAUUGACGGGGGCCCGCACAAGCGGUGGAGCAUGUGGUUUAAUUCGAAGCAACGCGAAGAACCUUACCAGGUCUUGACAUCCCGAUGCCCGCUCUAGAGAUAGAGUUUUACUUCGGUACAUCGGUGACAGGUGGUGCAUGGUUGUCGUCAGCUCGUGUCGUGAGAUGUUGGGUUAAGUCCCGCAACGAGCGCAACCCUUAUUGUUAGUUGCCAUCAUUCAGUUGGGCACUCUAGCGAGACUGCCGGUAAUAAACCGGAGGAAGGUGGGGAUGACGUCAAAUCAUCAUGCCCCUUAUGACCUGGGCUACACACGUGCUACAAUGGCUGGUACAACGAGUCGCAAGUCGGUGACGGCAAGCUAAUCUCUUAAAGCCAGUCUCAGUUCGGAUUGUAGGCUGCAACUCGCCUACAUGAAGUCGGAAUCGCUAGUAAUCGCGGAUCAGCACGCCGCGGUGAAUACGUUCCCGGGCCUUGUACACACCGCCCGUCACACCACGAGAGUUUGUAACACCCG